rnacentral:misc_RNA from 1 species
UGGCAUACCUCUUCAGUCUUGUGUCAAUGCUUGUAUUGCAUUGAAUGCACGGUGGGUUUCUUGUGUUGCAUGCCUAAUUAAUGGUAUCGCUUGAUGAAUUGGUAUUCCUUUCGUCUUGUGUCGCCUAUGCGAUGUGUGAUGAACCUUGAAGCAACCUUUGUGAUCCACUCUUUUGAUGCAUACGCAUUGAUUUUGUGGCCCAUUGAGUGUUGCUUGGUCUCAUGGAUAUGGAACCUGGUGUGGGCAUGGAAUCUUACUGGUUCCUUGUUUGUCCAAGUUUAGCUUUUCUAAAACGAUUGUCUAUCAUGUGUUAACGUGGUAGACAGCUUCGAAUAUGAAUGCUACCUGGUUGAUCCUGCCAGUAGUCAUAUGCUUGUCUCAAAGAUUAAGCCAU